GGCCUCUAAAUUUAGCCCAGGCUAAAGGCAGCAACGAGCGGACCGGUUGGCGACCCACUCCUGUUGAACUAUAUACUGCUUUGGACCCGCUGUUGUUCCGCCACCUGCACCACUAAUUCCUUUUUGUGUGUGUGUGUGUGUGUGUCUUGGUACCACUUGUGUUUUGGUGGAAGGGAAGGGGUGAUUGGAUCUCUCACCCUCGAUGAGGAAUUGACAUUGCUGAGAGGAUGGCUGAUGGCAACUUGGCACAGGGACUGUUUAUCUGUGAACGGCCCACUGCUCUAAUGCAAGUCACAGCGUUGUGAUUUGCGACAGGGUGUCAGUCAGCCAGAGGCGAUGGGUCAGUCAGAGGGGCUAGAGAGCAGGGGUGGCAUAAACAGCCCUGACCCCCUGGUACGAGAGGCCUAUCUGAUGUUACAUGACUAUAUAAACUAUGUGAUCGCAGGGCCUGACGGACACAUUGGCCCACCCCCUACUGCCACAGCAGCAGCCCUGCGCCAUGCUGGGGAUGAGCUGCUAGUUAGGUUCCCCAUCUUCUUCAGGCGUUGGCCACGCGUCUUCCACGAUGUGACCGAGGCCACAGCCUGUCCCAUGCUAACCGCCAUCCUGGAUGAGCACUUUGCCACCACCACCCCCGGGGGGCGCCGACGGGACCUGGCCUGGAGUGCGGUGCUGUCUGUGUAUGUGUUGGCUGGCCAGAUGGCCCUGCACUGCCAUGAGAGGGGCAUGGGGGGAAUCCUGCCCCAGCUUAAGGAGUGUGUGGGGGGUUACGUGGAGAGGGUCAUCUGUCCAGAGAUUCGGGACAAGGGUGGAUGGAUGACUCUGACCUGGGCCCCCAUUGUAACCAUCUCCUUGGGGUGCCAGCAUUCACUGAGAGGCAUCCUACUAGGCCCAUGACUGUUCUACCGGACAGAGCAAAGAGACUGGGUGUCCCCUGUGGGUAUGUCCAGAUCUGGAGCAGUAUGAAGUUGGGGCUGACCCUCUGUGUCUGGGCCUGGCUGGACAACAGCAGCGCUGCAAUGCAUCACUUGCCCUGCAGCACAGCAAGACCUGGCUACACUGCUACCAACAGUCUGAUGACCAGCUCACUACCCUAGUAGUGGAGAACAGGCUGGUCUCCCAGGCAGCAGCCUUUCAGCCCAGUACCAUCAUGGUCAAAGGUCAAUAGCAUAUUUUCACCCAUGGAAUGUCCAGAUAAAUAAAUGCCUGAAUGUACAAAAUAAAUAAUAAUCUAUCUCACCCUUCCCACACUUCUCCACUAAUUUCCCUCCGUCUCCUCUAUUGCCGGGGGAAGAGACCCUAUCCCUGUAAACUGGAGGUUACGGUUACUAUCCGAUCCCGCUAAGGGUGGUCCUUUCUCAGGAUUUUCUACAGUGGCCUAUAUUGGUCAAACGAUUGUCGAAAAUUGUAAGCUCUUAUAACUGUAGGAAAUAGUCGCAUUGCACCAAACAUCAGCACGCACCUGAGAUUGACGCUCACAUUGAUCUGAUACAAAAUUAUCAUCCAUACGUUUUACGGUAAGAUUUGAGUGUGUAUUUCUUUGAUAGACAGCCUACUCACUAUGUGGCUGUGUAUGACAGAUGCCCUGUGGUCAGAGUACUGCUGUUCAACACCACAUGGGAGAGGGACUGCUGACAUGCUAAAACUCCUAGUGGUGAGUACUACAGGUCUGGGAUCAGAUACACAGAUGCUGCUCUGUCCUGCUCUACUCUGCAGCUCUGGCCAUGAUCUGACUAUUGUACA